rnacentral:misc_RNA from 1 species
UUGAACUCCAAAAAAAAAAGAAGAGGUUGUUAAUUUUCUUGAUUGAUUGUGAAAUUUAUUGCUAUGUACUAUCAAGGAGGCUCAGAAAUCCAAGCUGAUGGUCUACAAACACUUUAUUUGAUGAACCCUAAUUUUAUAGGCUAUAAUGACACACAUCAUCACCAUCAUCAUCAACAACAAUCGACCAAUAUGUUCCUCUUGAAUUCCGUGGCGUCGGGGAAUUUCCCCCACGUGUCCCUCCCUUUGCAAGCACAUGCACAGGGGCACUUGGUUGGAGUGCCCCUGCCAGGUGAUUUUCAGGAUUCUAACCGUCCUUCCAUCCAGGAAAUUUCGGCAUCUCAUCAUGGCCUUUUAUCGCGUUUGUGGACUUCUGGUGACCAAAGUACCCCUCGAGGUGGUGGAGGAGGAGGAGAAGGAAAUGGAAGCAAAUCACAUAUACCGUCAUCCACUGUGGUUUCUCCCAACUCAGGUAGUGUUGGAGGCACCACCACGGACUUUGCUUCCCAAUUAGGGUUUCAAAGACCGGGGUUGGUGUCACCAACACAAGCGCACCAUCAAGGUCUUUCUCUAAGCCUUUCUCCACAACAACAAAUGAAUUUCGGGUCUAGUCUUCCACUAGACCAUCGCGAAAUUUCAACAACCAAUCAUCAGGUUGGAAUACUAUCAUCAUCACCAGGAGUAAAUACCAGUAAUAUCGAUCAUACUCGAGGAUCAGGGGCAUUAUCGUCUUUUUCGAUUUCUAAUGGGAUGAUAUUGGGUUCUAAGUACCUAAAAGUUGCACAAGAUCUUCUUGAUGAAGUUGUUAGUGUUGGAAAAAACAUCAAAUUAUCAGAGGUUGGUGGUGCAAAGGAGAAACACAAAUUGGAGAAUGAAUUAAUAUCUUUGGCUAGUGAUGAUAUUGAAAGUAACACCCAAAAAAAUAGUGGUGUUGAACUUACAACAGCUCAAAGACAAGAACUUCAAAUGAAGAAAGCAAAGCUUGUUAGCAUGCUUGAUGAGGUGGAUCAAAGGUAUAGACAAUACCAUCACCAAAUGCAAAUGAUUGCAACAUCAUUUGAGCAAACAACAGGAAUUGGAUCAUCAAAAUCAUACACACAACUUGCUUUGCACACAAUUUCAAAGCAAUUUAGAUGUUUAAAAGAUGCAAUUUCUGGGCAAAUAAAGGACACAAAUAAAACUUUAGGGGAAGAAGAGAACAUUGGUGGCAAAAUUGAAGGAUCAAAGUUGAAAUUUGUGGAUCAUCAUUUACGCCAACAACGUGCACUACAACAAUUAGGGAUGAUGCAAACCAAUGCAUGGAGGCCACAAAGAGGUUUGCCCGAAAGAGCGGUUUCGGUUCUCCGCGCUUGGCUUUUCGAGCAUUUUCUUCAUCCGUAUCCUAAAGAUUCAGAUAAAAUCAUGCUUGCUAAGCAAACAGGGCUAACAAGGAGCCAGGUAUCAAAUUGGUUCAUAAAUGCUAGAGUUAGACUAUGGAAGCCAAUGGUAGAAGAAAUGUACAUGGAAGAAGUGAAGAAAAACAAUCAAGAACAAAAUGGUUUAGAUCAAAAAAUUAUUGAACCUAAUAACAAUGAAAUUGUUGGGUCAAAAUCAAGUGCUCCACAAGAAAAAUUACCAAUUAGUAGCAAUAUUAUUCAUGAUGCUACUUCAAAUGAUAUUUCUACUUCCACCAUUUCAACAUCUCCCACAGGUGGUGGCGGUUCGAUGCCGGCUCAGACGGUUGGAGGUUUCUCCUUGAUUAGGUCAUUAAACAUGGACAACAUUGAUGACCAAAGGAACAACAAGAAGGCAAGAAAUGAGAUGCAAAGUAGUACUAUUAUCUCAAUGGAAAGAGAAAUCAUGAAUAAAGUGAAAAGUGAAAAGUUCAACAACACACAAACAAGAGAAUGUUACACUCUAAUGACUCCAAGUUACACAAUGGAUGAUGAUCAACAAUUUGGAACAAGGUUCAACAAUCAAAAUCAUGAACAAUUAGCAACAACUUUUCAUCAAGGAAGUAAUGGUCAUGUUUCUCUUACUUUAGGGCUUCCACCAAAUUCUGAAAACCAACACAAUUACAUUGGAUUGGAAAGUCAUUACAAUCAACCUACACAUCAUCCAAAUAUUAGCUAUGAAAACAUUGAUUUUCAGAGUGGGAAGCGUUACGCGACUCAACUAUUACAAGAUUAUGUUUCUUGAUCAUACAUAUACAUAUAUAUAAUUUGCAGGUAAAUCAGCUUGAAAUUACAUCAUGUAAAAGGCCUUGAAUAAAAGAAGGGGAAUUGAGAUUUAGUCAUCAUGUAUAUGUAUAGGUAGAAAUUUUAGUUAGUAUAUAUAGGUUAUACUAUUAGUUUUCUUAUAUGAAGAUACAAGUUUUUGUUGUUAUUUUUGUAUUGAGAUAACUAGCUAGCUUGGAUUAUUAUUUAUAGUUGUUGCAUGCAACUAAAGAUGAAGAAAAAAUUAUCUAUAUA